AACCUAAAUCCUUACAAAAAUGCACAAGAAUGGAAGUAUAUACACAUAAUCAACAUAGAACUUACAUACUAUUAUUCAAGUAUAUAAGUAUGUGUGUGUGUGUAUAUAUAUUAUUCAACAUGGACCGAAUCUUUUUGUCAGGAUGAUGAUUGGAAGUAAUUUCAAAGUUCAAACCAAAAGACAUAAAUAAAAAUUGGAAAAACUCCCCAUAUCCCAACAAUGCAAAAGCAAUAUCUUACUAACUGAAAGG